rnacentral:rRNA from 1 species
UACGUAGGGUGCAAGCGUUAAUCGGAAUUACUGGGCGUAAAGCGUGCGCAGGCGGCUUUGCAAGACAGAUGUGAAAUCCCCGGGCUUAACCUGGGAACUGCAUUUGUGACUGCAUGGCUAGAGUGCGGCAGAGGGGGAUGGAAUUCCGCGUGUAGCAGUGAAAUGCGUAGAUAUGCGGAGGAACACCGAUGGCGAAGGCAAUCCCCGUGGGCCUGCACUGACGCUCAUGCACGAAAGCGUGGGGAGCAAACAGGA